ensembl:snRNA U6 U6 spliceosomal RNA
GUGCUCAUUGUGGCAAUACACAUACUGAAAUUGGACCGAUACAGAGAAGAUUAGCAUGGCCACUGUGCAAGUGUCCUGUGCAAAUUCGUGAAGCGGUCUAUAUUUAA